AACGAACGCUGGCGGCAUGCCUAACACAUGCGAGUCGAACGAGACCUUCGGGUCUAGUGGCGCACGGGUGCGUAACGCGUGGGAACCUGCCCUUAGGUUCGGAAUAACUCCCCGAAAGGGGUGCUAAUACCGGAUAAUGUCUUCGGACCAAAGAUUUAUCGCCUUUGGAUGGGCCCGCGUUGGAUUAGCUAGUUGGUAGGGUAAAAGCCUACCAAGGCGACGAUCCAUAGCUGGUCUGAGAGGAUGAUCAGCCACACUGGGACUGAGACACGGCCCAGACUCCUACGGGAGGCAGCAGUGGGGAAUAUUGGACAAUGGGCGAAAGCCUGAUCCAGCCAUGCCGCGUGAGUGAUGAAGGCCUUAGGGCUGUAAAGCUCUUUUACCCGGGAUGAUAAUGACAGUACCGGGAGAAUAAGCUCCGGCUAACUCCGUG
rnacentral:rRNA from 1 species